CCGAGCACAUGGGCCGCGGCCGGGCGGACUCGGGGCGCGGGGCCCGGGGGAACGGCGAGGGGGCCGAGCGAGGCGAGGAUUGGCCCCGGCCCCGGACCCCCUCGAGUGGAUUUCCACGCAGAAAGGAUGUUGGCGGUCCCGGUGACCUGCGGAGACACGGUUGGAGCCACCUUUCA
rfam:Ovis aries breed Texel chromosome 9, whole genome shotgun sequence.